rnacentral:rRNA from 1 species
AUUGAACGCUGGCGGCAGGCUUAACACAUGCAAGUCGAGCGGGGUGAUGGUGCUUGCACUAUCACUUAGCGGCGGACGGGUGAGUAAUGCUUAGGAAUCUGCCUAUUAGUGGGGGACAACAUCUCGAAAGGGAUGCUAAUACCGCAUACGUCCUACGGGAGAAAGCAGGGGAUCACUUGUGACCUUGCGCUAAUAGAUGAGCCUAAGUCGGAUUUGCUAGUUGGGGGGGUAAAGGCCUACCAAGGCGACGAUCGGUGGCGGGUCGGAGAGACGAACCAGCCCAACUUGGCCUGAGACACGGCCCAGACUCCGACGGGAGGCAGCAGUGGGGAAUAUUGGACAAUGGGGGGAACCCUGAUCCAGCCAUGCCGCGUGUGUGAAGAAGGCCUUAUGGUUGUAAAGCACUUUAAGCGAGGAGGAGGCUCUUUUGGUUAAUACCCAAGAUGAGUGGACGUUACUCGCAGAAUAAGCACCGGCUAACUCUGUGCCAGCAGCCGCCGUAA